rnacentral:rRNA from 1 species
GAUAACCCCGGGCCGAGUGCGGGGGUAAAGAGGGGGAGCCAAGCGUUAUGCGGAAUGAUUGGGUUUAAAGGGGCCGUAGGCGGCCUUAUAAGUCAGUGGUGAAAUCUCACGGCUCAACCGUGAAAUGGCCAUUGAUACUGUAGGGCUUGAAUUAUUGGGAAGUAACUAGAAUAUGUAGUGUAGCGGUGAAAUGCUUAGAUAUUACAUGGAAUACCGAUUGCGAAGGCAGGUUACUACCAAUGGAUUGACGCUGAUGGACGAAAGCGUGGGUAGCGAACAGGAUUAGAUACCCUGGUAGUC